GAGAAGUUCAAUUUUGGCUUAGUAAUUAGAUUAAUGAUUUUUUUAUAUGUAAGUUCUUGCUUAAAAUGUUUUAAAUAAUUUUAUAUGCAGUAUUUAGUAUUAAUAAUGAAUUUAUUUUUGAAUUAGAAAUUUAUUUUUGUUCUAAUAAAAUUUGUGCCAGCAAUUGCGGUUAUACAGAUUAGUACAAUUUAAUUUUAUUAGUUAGUAAUUAAUUGUUAAUAAAUAAAAUUUAUAUUUUAAUUUUUUGGGUGAAAUUUUAUAUUAUAAUAUUUUUUAUUGAUUUAUUUGAAGUUAUUAAAUUUUUUUAAAAACUAGGAUUAGAUACCCUAUUAUUGUAAUAUAAAUUUUUAUACUUGAUUAUUAAUAGCUAGGGUCUUUAAAUUUAAAAAAUUUGGCGGUAUUUCAUUCUAUUCAGAGGAACCUGUCCUUUAAUUGAUACUCCACGAUCUGUUUUACUUUUAUUAGAAGUUUGUAUAUCGUUGUGUAAGAAUAUUUUAAAAGAAUUUUAAUGUUUAAAUUUUUUUAUUUAAUAAAAAUUCAAAUCAAGGUGCAGCCUAUAAAAGGAGAGAUGGGUUACAAUAAAUUUAUUUUUGGUUCUUUUCUUUAAAUUGAUUAGUUAAAUUGGAUUUGUUAGUAAUUUUAUUUAGGUUUUUAAGAUGAUUUAAGUUUUGGAAUAUGUACAUAUCGCCCGUCGCUCUCGUUAUAAAGUGGGAUAAGUCGUAACAUAGUAGAUGUACUGGAAAGUGUAUCUAGAAGGAU
rnacentral:ncRNA from 1 species